UCCNAUUCUUGCAAGAAUGUCCAAAUAAAGUGAAUGCUUCUUCACCAACUUUGUUCACAAUGUAUUUUGUUCAGGGUUAUACUGAACCUACUUCUUACAGAUGGGGGCUGCGUCCGGGAUGAUAAUAAAUCAUCAGAGACACCGAGUCAGCAGCUGAGAAGAGAGGAAGACGCGUCCCGUUGAGUUUAACGGUCCUUGACUCUAUCUGAGGGCUCGGUGUCCUGAGACUGAAAUUUCCCGAGACAAAGUGAACUUGGUGAACAAGCACAGGAAGGGAAAUGAUGGAAAAAUUCCUGAAGAGUUAAUGGUGGCAAGUGAUUUUGCAAGAACUGAUGCCUACCAACAAGCCAAGGAAAAUAGACCUUGGAUUCAGCUUCAACUGACUACCCUGACAAAUCUGUUCAGAAGUGACCUGCCAUUGCCUUCUUCUGAGGAGACACNGUGGAUUGGACCUAGACCUUCAGCACACAAACUGGAUGUUCUACCACCUAGCUAUGGUCACUUCUGAAGGGGAGGGGCAUACAGGAAGUUCAUGAUGUAUUUCUGCCUGAAUAUACUGGGGGCAGAGGAGGCUAAUAUGUGGCCUUCCCUUUGUUGCUGAACUCCAGCUCCUAUGAGCCUCAGUUAGGCUGGCCAAUGGCAGGAAGGCAGUUAGGGUUUGGUGACAUGUGAAGGGCAAUACUUCACCUACACUUGGCAACAGGGCACAUGAACCAGCAUGUUGAGAUGACAAAUUAUUUCCCUCUGUCCUACAAAAACUAGANUAUAGACUUGCUUUGUAAUUUUGGUUGCCACAUGGCAUCCAAGUCGUGGUGCCAAUAACUUUAAUAGUUAUGUAGAAAAAGAAAUUUCUGCAGGUGUUGCCUGAGUUACAAUCUACAUUGGCUGAAAUUUCUUCAUUUACACAAUUGUUAAAAAACAUAGGACUCCCUGA
rnacentral:lncRNA from 1 species